rnacentral:rRNA from 1 species
GAGAACUCUGGUUAAGGAACUCGGCAAAAAUUCACCGUAACUUCGGGAGAAGGGGUGCUUUGGUUUGUGAAGCCUUUACGGUCUAAGCAAACUGAAGCCGCAGUGAAAAGAUCCAGGCGACUGUUUAGCAAAAACAUAGGUCUCUGCUAAGUCGUAAGACGAUGUAUAGGGACUGAUGCCUGCCCAAUGCCAAAAGGUUAAGGUUAGGGGUCAUCGAUUUCGGUCGAGAAGCUCUGAUCCGAAGCCCUGGUGAAUGGCGGCCGUAACUAUAACGGUCCUAA